UAGGGAAUCUUCGGCAAUGGGGGCAACCCUGACCGAGCAACGCCGCGUGAGUGAAGAAGGUUUUCGGAUCGUAAAGCUCUGUUGUAAGAGAAGAACGUGUGUGAGAGUGGAAAGUUCACACAGUGACGGUAACUUACCAGAAAGGGACGGCUAACUACGUGCCAGCAGCCGUGGUAAUACGUAGGUCCCGAGCGUUGUCCGGAUUUAUUGGGCGUAAAGCGAGCGCAGGCGGUUUAAUAAGUCUGAAGUUAAAGGCAGUGGCUUAACCAUUGUUCGCUUUGGAAACUGUUAAACUUGAGUGCAGAAGGGGAGAGUGGAAUUCCAUGUGUAGCGGUGAAAUGCGUAGAUAUAUGGAGGAACACCGGUGGCGAAAGCGGCUCUCUGGUCUGUAACUGAUGCUGAGGCUCGAAAGCGUGGGGAGCAAACAGG
rnacentral:rRNA from 1 species